ACACAGAGAGCCAGAUGCCAACGCCGAGCAGCCCGCAGCCACAUAACUGCAAGGAGAAAGAUAAGACAGACGACAAGCACACAACAUCAUCUGCUUUAGCCGGCAUUGAUUUUGUGCUGAAAUGAAGACAGAGGAUAUUCACUUCAGAAAACAGAAGAUUUUUCAUUUCUCACCAUGUGAUCCUACAAGCCUGUGAUUCAUGUUACCAUAUAAGCACUAAUGGCCUGCCAACUGUGAAAGAAACUGACAAACAUAAUAAAGCUAUUGUAAACAUCAAAAAGGAGAGAAAAGGCCCAAAAGUAAAGACGGGUUAUUUGUAUUUGCUUCCCAGCAAAGGAAAAAGUCUUCUUUGAGACAUGCUAUGAAAGAAAAGGAGUCAUCUUAUGAAUAGACUCCAGAGAGUGUUUGUGUGUUCCUGUCAGAAAAGGUUAUUUUUUUAAGGUUUCUUCCUGAUAAAUCACUACUUUUGCUGCACUUAUCCUCCGUGGUGACCAUACUCGAGCAAAGAAAAACUCAGGCGAAAAGAAUAGUAUAUUAUUUUUCACAUUAUCACUCUUGAUUUAUUUUGACUCACCUUGUCCUUCUUGUCAAGCCUAAAGAUGCCUUGUUCUUUUCAGUUUAUCAUUACUAGCUAAGAGGUUGCUCAAAAAGCAAAAAGAAGUAAGGUCAUUCUGAUUAAGGCUAAGCCUCACUCCACAGCAGCUGUAUCACACCAAACACAAUGCAUUAAAGCAAUUUUACAACUGUA